rnacentral:rRNA from 1 species
GAUGAACGCUGGCGGCGUGCCUAAUACAUGCAAGUCGAGCGAACAGACGAGGAGCUUGCUCCUUUGACGUUAGCGGCGGACGGGUGAGUAACACGUGGGUAACCUACCUAUAAGACUGGGAUAACUUCGGGAAACCGGAGCUAAUACCGGAUAAUAUUUCGAACCGCAUGGUUCGAUAGUGAAAGAUGGCUUUGCUAUCACUUAUAGAUGGACCUGCGCCGCAUUAGCUAGUUGGUAAGGUAACGGCUUACCAAGGCAACGAUACGUAGCCGACCUGAGAGGGUGAUCGGCCACACGGGAACUGAGACACGGUCCAGACUCCUACAGGAGGCAGCAGUAGGGAAUCUUCCGCAAUGGGCGAAAGCCUGACGGAGCAACGCCGCGGGAGUGAUGAAGGUCUUCGGAUCGUAAAACUCUGUUAUUAGGGAAGAACAAACGUGUAAGUAACUGUGCACGUCUUGACGGUACCUAAUCAGAAAGCCACGGCUAACUACGUG